rnacentral:snRNA from 14 species
GUGCUUGCUUUAGCAGCACACACAAAAAGAGUAAAGUAAUACGGAGUAGAUAAGGAUGGCCCUUGUGUGUGCGAGAUAACCCACAAAUUCAUGAAAUGCUCCAUAGUUUA